GGGAGAGAGAGUCAAACAACGAUCAAACACCAAUGGAACUGGAACCAAUGAAUGCAGCACGUGAUGACACGUCACCAUUGGAAAAUAACAACUCUAAGAUCAACAGAGACAGAACAAGAGAGUCAAACAAUGGCGAAAUACAAAUAACAAUAAAAGCCACAGAAGGAACAAACGAAGAAACGCCUCGUCAGAACGGUGAAAACCUCACACCCCCCCCUCUGCCUGAAAGAACUGAAGACACUUGGGUGUGAUGUAGCACAUGACUGAACAUGGAGACUUUUGUGUCAUAUGGACAAGAAGUACUAGAAGAAGAGUUCAAGAUUAACAAACCUCUCCACGUUAGACUGAAGGAGUAACUGAUGAACUGAUGCUCACUUUGUGUCGUCCAAUAUUUAUGAUGUUUACUUUGUGAUUUUAUCCAAGAAAGUUGGAAAACUUUAUGUUUGAAUAUAUGAAGUUUAUAUAUGCUGAAAUAAUAUGAAAGAUUUUUCUAGAUCUUUUUUUAUUUAACACCAGUGAAUUUAAAAUUUCAUCCAUAAGUGGAUGUAAAGGAUAUUUUAAGGUCAGAGUUUAGAUUUGUUUUUCUCAGAACUUCUUCUUUUUUCCGACCCCUGAGAUUUAUCUGGUGUCCGUUCACAAAACUGCACAUACAGUAGAAGAGUCCAGCUCCACCUCCAGCAGCUACAGCAGUAACAUGCUGCUGACACACUGAUGCCUCAGUAUUGAUCAUCCAAUGAUCACAGAUAUAACAACAUGUAUAAGUGAGAGGGAUGGAACCAGCUGUUUUACUUUAAUACUUUCACUACAUUUAGCUGCUUGUACUUUAUGUACUUUUACUUCAAUAGGAUUUUUCAUGUAGGACUUUUACUUGUAAUGAAGUAUUUUUACAUUUCUGUAUCUGCACUUUUACUCUGGCGGGUUUGGGCCAGAGCACUGUGACACCUUUAUGCAAGAUUUAACAUUUGUCUGCUUUGCCCAGUGGCCUCUGAGGCUACAUGGAUCAA